AAUGGAGCCCAUGAAAUUGGUACGCUGUCACAAGUGUGGGGUUGAGUUAGAUGAUGAUCAAAUCGGUGAAAUAAACGUACUGGGAUUGACUCAUGAGGAACUACCAUCAAUUACAGAACAUGUAAAGCAGGGAGGAGAUGAAUAUUGUGAUUCUCAGGAGAGGAUGAAAGCGGGAUACCAUGAAAACAAUGACGGGGUUGACUUUGUGGGGGUCAACCGAACUGAAGUAGACACGGGGAUUGCAGUUGAACGAGAAGAGGAAUCGCUGUCUAAAGAAGGGGAGUUUAGUAUGGUGAACUUAGAGAAAUUGACAAUGGACACUGUGAAAGAAAACAACUCUACACAGACGACAUCAAGGAUUACGAACACUUAUAAUAGGAGGACAAAAGAUAAUGAUAUGGGGACCUAAAAAGCUUUGGUGUUAUGGAUAGGUGGUGCCAAGAAAGGAGAAAGUGACAGUGACAUUAUACCAGUGGUGGAAGAGAAAGAACGGUCCUUUGAUCAUCUCGAGGGCUAUCAGGGUGAGGAUACUUCAGGAGCUGAUGUGUUAAAAGUCGGUCACCCACCUUCAAACUGGGUUCUACAAAAAAUUCAGGAAUUCAGUAAGUUGGUUGGCGUGUCAUGUGAUGGGUAUGAAAGUAGAUUGUUACAAUUAUUCGAGGAGCUGGAGGUUAAUAGGGGACAAGACAUCAGUACACAUGGAAGUAAAUUAAGAAGAAAAUGUGAUCGUGAACUUAAGAGGCUCGAAUGGUCAGUAAGCUAUGCUGGUGAGGGUGGUGAGUCCAAGAAAGGAACAAUGGGGAGGGGUUAUGGAGUGUUACAAUGAUGCCAAAACUCAUUAGCUAGAACGUAAGGGGUCUCAAUGAGGUUAGUAAAAGGCUUGGUGUUCGUCAUUUGCUAAGGGGAUGAGGGGUAAAUCUUGUUUGCCUACAAGAAAUUAAGAUGGAGUUUAUCUCGAGGGCGGUGAUUCGUAGUUUAUGGGGGGAGAUCAUGUAGGAUAUCAGUUUUUGGGGUCAUCAGGGGUUUCAGGAGGCGUGUUGGUGAUGUGGGACACUAGAGUGCUUGAGAUGAAGGAGGUGAGUAUAGGGGUGUUCUCUAUAUUGAUUUCUUUCAAAAAUUGUGAGGAUGGAUUCAGUGGAUGUUCACAGGAUUUUAUGGGCCUAAUUCUGAUGACAGUAGAGUGGGUUUGUGGGAUUAACUGGCUGGAAUGAGG
rnacentral:lncRNA from 1 species